UGGGCAACCUGCCCUGUACUGGGGAAUAAUCAUUGGAAACGAUGACUAAUACCGCAUGUGGUCCUCGGAAGGCAUCUUCUGAGGAAGAAAGGAUUUAUUUGGUACAGGAUGGGCCCGCAUCUGAUUAGCUAGUUGGUGAGAUAACAGCCCACCAAGGCGACGAUCAGUAGCCGACCUGAGAGGGUGAUCGGCCACAUUGGGACUGAGACACGGCCCAA
rnacentral:rRNA from 1 species